AUCUUUACACUGCUCCGACUACAGUCCAAAUUCUAAGAUUUAAACUCUCAUUUAGGGACUAAGUGUCCCAAAACACUACAAAACUCAAAGUGAACCCUCCCGGCAAAUUAUAUUAGCAGAAAAAGAUACGAGGGAAGCAGUUAAUACGGGAUCGGGGCAUAAAUUCUCAAAACGGUCGGCCGGGUCGUUAUAUCAUUACAAAAUUAUGGAUUUACUUUAUCUUACCUUCUCCAAAAUAAAAAAAUAAAAAAGAAGCAAUAACUAAACAAUCAGAUAACAUUAUUGAAUUGAUACUGUAAUAAUUGGAUUUUGAGAGACUCAAUACAAUGACUUUAAUGCGUAAAUAAAAGUUUACGAAAGUUUAAACUUUUGAUGUAAAAGGACGCCCACAACUAUGAUAGUGAGUCGACUAGCUUCCAGCAGGUAGAAAAUUAAUCUUUUUUCUUUCUGUUUCCACCAAUUUCUAAGUUGUCAAUUUUAGGAUGUGUCGGUUAUGUUUUCCAGGUAUUUAGUUCACAAGAGCAACAUCUACACUCAAUGUGAUAUCUGAAAACAUUGACAAGAAGCUAUAUUAUUUUGGCAGCCAGAUAUGUGCUAUCAAUUGUAACUUUCACUUUGCAAUGGUUAUAGAUUUGUUGGUGAGGUAAAAUAGUCUUUCUUAUUGUUAGUUGUACUGCAUUUUUUAAGCAAUGAAAAGUUUUUUCCUAUGAUACUUCUUAAAUUUGCAGCUACAAGAUGUGCGAGUAUCUUUUUUUGAGAAAUCUGUUGAGCAGUAAGUAGUAUCCCUUUACUGAGGAUCCUUCAUUGUGGAGCUUGUACAACUUCUUGAUAGAUGCUUCUUAUUUUUAGCAUGAUAAAUUUCAAAUAAUGUCCUUUAUCAUAGUAAGGAGUCUUCUAUCUGAAGGUUUUCUGGUUGUUCCUUUUACCAAUUAAAGAAAUCUACCGAGGGUGAGUCCUCUGAGUUAUAUGCAUUAACAUUGUAAUUGGAGUCAGCACUUUUUAUUAUUUGUAAUAUGAAAUAGCACCUCCAAGAGAGGCAUGUUUUCUAAGUUUACUGCUAAAUCUUUUACAUUACUCUAUUCCUCUUAACAAAUAAUUUUGAUGCUAAUACUUAAACAUACAGUACAUAAAAGGUACCAUCGUGCAGCUCAUGAACUUAAUGAAGUUAUGUCUUCACAAGCAGAAGCUUUUUGGUUAACUAUAAAUAGUACCAUUUGGUAUAUUUUUCAAGUACAGAUUAUUCAGUAGAGGAAGGAGAGCUCAUAUUUCUCAAGGAUAUAUAGUGAUCUUGAAUGAUAACAAAGAAAUCAUGUAAAAUCCCCGGCUCUGCUGAUUGUGAGAUGGUAACUUCUCCUAUUUUGUUCUUCUUUAUCAAUCAUGUGAUUUGUAUUAAUCAUUUCGUUGUUCUUGAAGUUGGGAUCGCUCUCAAAUGGUUCUUUAACUUGCAAGAGUUGCUCCUCCUAUGAUGCAGCAUAGCUAGGAGUUGAAUUCUUCUUUCUAUCUAAGGAAGAAUACUCUUUGAGUCCCAUAAUUUUCUGCUUUGUUUUGACAUGCAUUUUUCUUUGCAAGUGAGGAAUAAUUGGCCAAUAUGAUCUGCUUAAUGUCCUGGGAAAACAAAAGAAGGAAGGUUUGUUUGCAUGUAAUUUUCUCUGUCACUCCACUAUAACAUUGAUUGAGUAUUUAGCUUGAUUAUUUUUUUUUACGUAUGCGACUCAUUUUUCUGCAUUAUGGUGUUUUCUCCUUAGAUAAUUAGUUUACCUGUGUUCAUGGAGUUUCCCCUAUUGUGUUUUGUAUUAUUUAGAUAAUAGCAUAGGAAGCCAGUCAAAAUCUAUGCAGCCGGUGUGCUUGUGAACUACAUUUCUCUUCCUCUGGUUAGAGCAGUAAGGUUUCGACUCUCUCUGAUGAUGACCUUUGUUAUUGGAGUCACCGCAAAAGUAAAAUGUUCCUUCUUUCUAGGAGCUUCCAUAUGAUCGACUUAUAAAAGAGUCUAGAGCGCCAUAACAGUGCGUGAAAAAAUCUUCUCAUACAUGAGCACAUGUGUGCGAUGAGUAUUAGCUCUUACACUUGAAUCAUUGUGUUAUGAGUAGAGAGAUCAUUGUUCUUUCAACUACCAGAAAUGCACCGACUAACACAUAUUUUCAGGAAUUUCUUUCUAUUAAUGUUCAAGGGGUAGGCAGUCACUAAUACUUGCAUUAGGAUAGACUGUCUACAUCACACCCCUUGGAGUGCAGCCUUUUGUCGGACCCUGCGUGAAUGCGAGAUUCUAUGUGCACCAGGCUAGCCUUUUUUUUAAGGGGUAAUGUAUUUAGCCUUAUGGAUAGAAGUUCAAUUGGAAUCUUUUAGAUGGUUUUUGUUGUCUUAUAGGUUAUUUGUGGCUACUUUUUCAUUUUGCUUCCAUUCUUCUCUUUCUUUUUUCUGUUUUGUAUGAUGGUUUUGUGUACUUUCACACCACAUUAAUUUAUUCCAUUAAAAAAUAAAUAAGACUUCAGUUGUCCCCAUCCCCCUCCCCCUCCCUCGGAUAGAAGCUUUCGAUUUGAUAUACGUUAGUAAAGUUUAUCCUCCUACAUCUUUUUUGGUUCAUAGUCGGUUUUUUAUUUUACAGAUUUCUCUCUAUGUCCGUAAUUGCUUCGUUUGUGUUUCUAUUACUCUUAUGUAUGCAAUUCACUCCCGACAUUUAACUUGUGAAAUAUACUCAGCUAUCCGAGGACCAAUUUCCUCCAAAUGCAUUACUUCUCGAAUCCCUACCCAGCUUAAGGCGUUGAAGGGCUGCCUACUUGACAUUUACUGAUUUUAGUUCUAAUGCAUGUUCCUAUGCGCAUGCAUAUAUAUAGUUGGAUGUUCAUAUUACAUAUGAAUACACGUGUCUUUGGAUAUUUUGUACAUAGAAGUGGUGGAUUAAGUGAUUGGACAAUUGCAAAUGUGAUUGCAACUAGAUUAUGUAACGACCCGACCAGUCGUUUUGAGAUUUUGCACUUCGCUCGCAAGUUCUCGGGCAUGACUAGCCCCGUGUGAUGUAUUAUGACUUAUGUAAAUUGUUGGUUUUGGUUUUCAGGAUAGUCGGAAUAGAUUUGGAAAAACAAUUUUCAGUUUGAAGCUUAAAAUUUGAAAGGCCAGCUUAUUGUGGACGCUAAUAAUUAAGGUUUUAUUAAUUUUGGCACUGCCUGCACGUGGUUUAACUAUUCUACAAAGGAAACUAUCUAUGGGCAGAUUGUAAUCUUCAAGAAAGACUUCUUAGUCCUAUGGAUAAAGCUCUUUGUUUUAGCCUAAUGAAACUGUUUAAGGUGAGGAUCCAAGGCUUAUGAGUACAGAAUCCGAUGGUAUUUUUAAUUAGAACAAACUAUAUUUUUCUAAUUAUUCAACCAAAUGAAAUUGGUUGACUAAUUGAAAAAUGAGAUUAUUCAAGCAUUCAAUGUUGAGAUUAUGCACUGGUAGUAGAUCCAUUAUUAAAAAAGUACUUGUGAUUGUUCCAGAAGAAAUUAAACAACUGAUAUAGUAGAGCUAGAACAAUUAUUUAUGCAAGGUCUCCCCAAUACUAGAUGCAUUUGCAGGAAAGAUUAAAGCUAGAAUUACUGCAUAAUAAUGAGAAACCUUGUCAUAUCAAAACCGAAAACUGUGUAAAAUUGCAGUUUCCACAGUUGUCCUUUGAACGCAAGGAGAUGUAAUUUUGGUUAUUGUUCUAAAUUACUACUACCAAGUGUCUUUGUAGUCUUCUUUUCCAUUUUCUUAGGCUGAUCUCUUUAGAAGUAUGCAAUGAUUUCUUUAGAGAUUGUUUUUAAUGUAUUAAAUAUUUUUGGGAUCAAUGUGUUAUGAGUAUUUAAGUAUUUACAUUUAGGUACUCUUGACACUUGUUUAAUCUACUAAGAGUUUGCUUUGUAUACAAUUUGACAAUGGUAUUGCACUUUUUGUUUUACCUUUU